rnacentral:lncRNA from 1 species
UCUGAAACGAAAACAAAAAACAGAAAAUUAAACUUAAAAGACCAAGAAAACCAAAUUGAAAUAGAAUGAUACUUGGGCAGCAAGAAAGGAUGAAUAAAGAACGUUUCUUGAUGCCAAAGAAUGUUGCAAAACAAAUCCGUGAAGCUUGGAAUGGCUGGAAACGCAACAAGAACAAUUAAACCAAGUUAAUCAACAAUUCGACACAAAC